GACGAACGCUGGCGGCGUGCUUAACACAUGCAAGUCGAACGGAAAGGCCCUUCGUUUGUGUGGUGCUCGAGUGGCGAACGGGUGAGUAACACGUGAGUAACCUGCCCUUGACUUUGGGAUAACUUCAGGAAACUGGGGCUAAUACCGGAUAGGAGCUCCUGCUGCAUGGUGGGGGUUGGUAAGUUUCGGCGGUUGGGGAUGGACUCGCGGCUUAUCAGCUUGGUGGUGGGGUAGUGGAUUACCAAGGCUUUGACGGGUAGCCGGCCUGAGAGGGUGACCGGCCACAUGGCGACUGAGAUACGGCCCAGACUCCUACGGGAGGCAGCAGUGGGGAAUAUUGCACGAUGGGCCGAAGCCUGAUGCAGCAACGCCGCGUGCGGGAUGACGGCCUUCGGGUUGUAAACCGCUUUCGCCUGUGACGAAGCGUAAGUGACGGUAAUGGGUAAAGAAGCACCGGCUAACUACGUG
rnacentral:rRNA from 1 species